AUGGCCACGAGGGCUUUGAGGGAGGUGGUGGUGAGGAGGAGGGUCGGAGCGGCGGGGAUUGGAGGCGGCAGGCGCUUCUCCGACAGCGCCGCCGCCGCUGCUCCGGUGGGCGCGGCCGAGAGGGGAGAGGGGGGAGGCGGGAAGGCCGUGAACCUCUUCACCGCCGUCAACCAGGCGCUCCACAUCGCGCUCGACACCGACCCGCGCUCUUAUGUCUUUGGAGAGGAUGUGGGUUUUGGCGGCGUCUUUCGCUGCACAACAGGGCUAGCUGAUCGAUUUGGGAAACAAAGAGUAUUCAAUACACCAUUGUGUGAACAGGGUAUUGCCGGAUUUGCUAUUGGCUUAGCAGCGAUGGGUAAUAGAGCUAUUGCCGAAAUCCAGUUUGCAGAUUAUAUCUUUCCAGCAUUUGAUCAGAUUGUCAACGAAGCCGCUAAAUUCAGAUACCGAAGUGGAAAUGAAUUUAACUGUGGAGGUUUAACAAUUCGAUCUCCAUAUGGUGCUGUUGGACAUGGUGGUCACUACCAUUCACAGUCACCAGAGGCCUUCUUCUGUCAUGUUCCUGGCCUGAAGGUUGUCAUACCUCGGAGCCCACGUGAGGCCAAGGGACUGUUACUGGCCAGCAUUCGUGACCCAAACCCAGUCAUCUUUUUCGAGCCAAAGUGGCUUUACCGUUUGUCUGUUGAAGAAGUUCCUGAGGGGGACUAUGUGCUGCCUUUAUCCCAGGCAGAAGUGAUCCGCAAAGGAAGUGAUAUAACACUUAUUGGUUGGGGAGCUCAACUUGCAGUGCUGGAACAAGCGUGUGAAGAUGCUUCAAAGGAUGGAAUUUCUUGCGAGCUCAUAGAUCUAAGAACACUAAUUCCAUGGGACAAGGAAACGGUUGAGGCCUCUGUCAGCAAGACCGGAAAGCUUCUUAUUAGUCACGAGGCCCCGAUAACCGGAGGGUUUGGUGCGGAAAUCGCUGCAUCCAUUGCCGAGCGCUGCUUCCAGAGGUUAGAAGCGCCUGUCGCAAGGGUCUGCGGCCUCGACACCCCUUUCCCUCUUGUUUAUGAACCAUUCUACAUGCCCACAAAGAACAAGAUCCUAGAUGCUAUUAAAGCAACUGUAAAUUACUGA
rnacentral:rRNA from 1 species